AAGGAAAUGAGGAGGAGGGAGACUGAGGGGGCUGCCUUUCCUUGGGGACUGGGGAACUCAUGCCCUGCCCCCACCCGCAGGGCUCCAGGGGUGAGGAAACUGAGGCUCGUUACUGACUUGCCCAAGAUUCCACAGUGGAAGAGCCUGGACGUGAACUGCGUCUCCAGGGAUGGGUUCUCACUAUGUUGCCCAGGCUGGUCUUGAACUGCUUUCAGGUGAUCCACCCGCCUAGCCUACCCAAAGUGCUAGGAUUGCAAGUGUGAGCCACCACAUCUGGCCUGACGUUCUCUUCUUGUUGCAUCAAGCCAUCAUCCACCGGGCGCCCCUAGACGUGCGUUCUCUCCCUCUCUCUCUUUCUCUCUCUCUCUUUCUAAUGCUGACCCACUCAGUAGAGCAGGGGCCAGCCAGAGGGGGACAAAGUCAUCAAUCCAGGCACCACCUUCCCACAUGUCCCUGCAACUUCUCUCCUUCCAGUGUGCUGAAGAAGAGAGGUGCCACCCCUCCUCCAGAUAAAUGGCCCCAGAAAACGAUCCGAAAAAAUACCCAGGGAGUGAUUCCUUAUGUACCCCCUCCACC
rnacentral:lncRNA from 1 species